rnacentral:rRNA from 1 species
CGGAGGGUGCGAGCGUUAAUCGGAAUUACUGGGCGUAAAGCGCACGUAGGCGGUCAGACAAGUCGGGCGUGAAAGCCCUGGGCUCAACCUGGGAAUUGCAUUCGAAACUAUCUGACUCGAGUAUGGGAGAGGGAAGCGGAAUUUCCGGUGUAGCGGUGAAAUGCGUAGAUAUCGGAAGGAACACCAGUGGCGAAGGCGGCUUCCUGGACUAAUACUGACGCUGAGGUGCGAAAGCGUGGGUAGCAAACAGGAUUAGAUACCCUGGUAGUCCACGCCGUAAACGAUGAGAACUAGAUGUCGAGGGGGUUUUGCUCCUCGGUGUCGCAGCUAACGCGUUAAGUUCUCCGCCUGGGGAGUACGGCCGCAAGGUUG